rnacentral:tRNA from 1 species
GCAUUGGUGGUUCAGUGGUAGAAUUCUCGCCUGCCUCGCGGAAGGCUCGGGUUCGAUUCCCGGCCAAUGCA